rnacentral:precursor_RNA from 15 species
AAAAUGAGAACUGCAGGAGACUUGGAGAGCAGAGAUACCUCUGGAGAAGCGCGUGACCUGACCCCAGCAGGAGAACCCAACCCGCUUUUCCACCUAGGUGUCUCUCUCUCUCUUUAUCUGUUCCUCAGCUCGAGAGU